ensembl:snoRNA Gm25969 predicted gene, 25969
UGCCUCUGUUUGAUACGCACAGAGCAAUUAUUGUCUGCUGCUAUGGCAUCCAUUACAGAUGCAAGAAAAGCAUCCUUGUGUUUUCGUCUGUCUGACUGUGGCAGCCAAGAGUGAAGGGCAGGAACAGAGGA